CCAAUUCUACUCCUCGAGUUAGCUCUACCCACAACAGUCCUGGCUAAGGAAAUGCAAGGAGGGUUUCUCAGAAUAGCCCUCGAGUCUUCUACUCCGGGGUAUUCACCAAACUCGAGCUCUCUGUUGUCGACUCCGGUGUGGACUAUGUACUGCAAUAGCAGGAAAGUUGGGUAUGCAGUUAAGCGAAGGCCUAGUAAGCAUGACUUGGAAGCUUUGAUGAUGAUGGGUUCGGUUGAGGUGGGUGCUGGGAUUAUAACUGGGAAUAAGGAGCUUAAUGAUGGUGAUGAUGAUGAGAUUAUGUACCUGCGAGCCAAUUUCGAGAGAGUUUGUGGUUCGGCGAAUUCGGAAUCGUUUCAUUUGAUUGACCCAGAUGAGAGUAUUGGCCAGGAGCUUAGUAUCUUCUUUUACCGUUCAAGGUGACAUUUUUG
rnacentral:lncRNA from 1 species